rnacentral:lncRNA from 1 species
UAAAGGGCAUCAUGGUACCACUCUGCUAGUUAAUAAGUUUCAUCAAACUUCACCAUGAGUUGGAAAAGUCUGUAUCUGACAGAUAGGAAGCCCCAGCUCAUUCAAUCCUGGCAUCAGUAAAGAGGAAUCAACUGUCUCCUAAAAGAUUUUUGCGGUAGGACUCGCAGCUGGGAACAGAGUUUAGGGGAGAGCACGAGGGAGAUCUGCAUGGUUACCCUUAGCCACAGCAGUGCCACCACACUUCCAACGAGCAUCUAGAGAAGGAAAUUAUUCUCCUAAAUAUAAACGGUGUCUUAAUCUGA